rnacentral:rRNA from 1 species
GAUGGACGCUGGCGGCGUGCCUAAUACAUGCAAGUCGAGCGAACGGACGAGAAGCUUGCUUCUCUGAUGUUAGCGGCGGACGGGUGAGUAACACGUGGAUAACCUACCUAUAAGACUGGGAUAACUUCGGGAAACCGGAGCUAAUACCGGAUAAUAUUUUGAACCGCAUGGUUCAAAAGUGAAAGACGGUCUUGCUGUCACUUAUAGAUGGAUCCGCGCUGCAUUAGCUAGUUGGUAAGGUAACGGCUUACCAAGGCAACGAUGCAUAGCCGACCUGAGAGGGUGAUCGGCCACACGGGGACUGAGACACGGUCCAGACUCCUACGGGAGGCAGCAGUAGGGAAUCUUCCGCAAUGGGCGAAAGCCUGACGGAGCAACGCCGCGUGAGUGAUGAAGGUCUUCGGAUCGUAAAACUCUGUUAUUAGGGAAGAACAUAUGUGUAAGUAACUGUGCACAUCUUGACGGUACCUAAUCAGAAAGCCACGGCUAACUACGUG